UACAGAGGGUGCAAGCGUUGUCCGGAAUUAUUGGGCGUAAAGAGCUCGUAGGCGGCCAGUUGCGUCCGCUGUGAAAUCCCGGGGCUUAACCCCGGGCGUGCAGUGGAUACGGGCUGGCUAGAGGCAGGCAGGGGAGAACGGAAUUCCCGGUGUAGCGGUGAAAUGCGUAGAGACCCGGAGGAACACCAGUGGCGAAGGCGGCUUCCUGGUCUGCGACUGACGCUGUGGCGCGGAAAGCUAGGGGAGCAAACGGGG
rnacentral:rRNA from 1 species